CCCUUAGAUGUUCUGGGCCGCACGCGUGCUACACUGAGUCAAUCAAUGGGUAAGGGAACACGAAAGUGCAACCUAAUCUUGAAAUUUGCUCGUGAUGGGGAUCGACGGUUGCAAUUUUCCGUCGUGAACGAGGAAUACCUUGUAGGCGCGUGUCAUCAUCACGCGCCGAAUACGUCCCUGCCCUUUGUACACACCGCCCGUCGCUCCUACCGAUUGAGUGGUCCGGUGAGGCUUUGGGAUCUGAGCGGAAAGAGCGUUUCGCUGUUUCUGCUCGGAAAACUCAGUCGAACCUUAUCAUUUAGAGGAAGGAGAAGUCGUAACA
rnacentral:rRNA from 1 species